rnacentral:rRNA from 1 species
GAGUGAAGCGGGAGAGCUCAAGCUUAAAAUCUCCGUGCAAGUUUUGUGCGGCGAAUUGUAGUCUAUAGAGGCGUGGUCAGCGUGGGCGCUUGGGGCAAGUUCCUUGGAAGAGGGACAGCAUGGAGGGUGAUACUCCCGUUCAUCCCUGAGUGGCUCGUGCGUACGACCCGUUUUCUUUGAGUCGCGUUGUUUGGGAAUGCAGCGCAAAGUAGGUGGUAAAUUCCAUCUAAAGCUAAAUAUUGGUGCGAGACCGAUAGCGAACAAGUACCGUGAGGGAAAGAUGAAAAGAACUUUGAAAAGAGAGUUAAAGAGUACCUGAAACUGCUGAAAGGGAACCGAAUCGUUUCCAGUGUCUAUAAUCUGUGGCAUAUUUCAUUGGCGAGCGUUUGCGUGCGUGUGCUGUGGCAGUGGCUUUUUUGGCUGCGCCUGGUGUGUGUGGUGUGAGUGUUUGCUGGUGCCCUGUGCUGCGGUGGGACGUCAAGGUCAGUUCGUAUGCUGCGGGAAAUGGCUGCCGAGGAGGUAGGGCUUACGCUCCGCGUUUGUCUGUUAUAUCUUGGUGGACGAGUCGUCGCGGUUGGGACUGAGGUGCCUACAACGUGCUUUUGAGUGGGUUUGUGUCUCCGUGUGCGCCGUGUGCGGAUAGCUUGCUA